UACCGACCGCGAAGCAUCGCUCGUCUUUCACUCGUUCAUCAUUCCACAGGAGAUUCGUCAACGAGGCGAUUCUGUCGAGAUGUAAUCGGGUAGAUAUCGCGCGCCACAUCCGUUCUCUAGAAAUCCAGACGGACCCACUCCAAGUGACCACAAAUAAACGAGAGACUGAGCAACGAGUGGAGUUCGACUUCCUAGGCUUCAAGGUCCCCAGGUUAAUGGCAAAACAGGGAAAGAUAGGCAACUCUGAAUAUAACGAACAACUUUAUUAAAAUGCUGAUUAAUAUAAACCCUUCGUCACAUUAGGGUCUUUGCUGUGUUUCAUUAUUUUCACCUGUGAGCAUGCUUCACAAAGGAAAUCUGCCGCCAACCGUAUUACUCAACUUCAGGCGACUAAGCGAGGUACAAAAUUAAUUAUACAGGAUCGAUAUCCAGCGUUAAUCUAUGACCAAACCACGGGCUAGCUCGCUGCCGCCACUCUAGCUGCGAAAUCUCUCUAAUGAUUAUCUGAAGGGGAGCUAUCAUGUCAACCACCAAAACCGGACUAUAUUUUUACACAUAUUCAAAUGAAAUAAUCGUGUAACUUAAUCAAAUUAUAAUAAUACAAAGCUUCGGACUAAUUAA